rnacentral:rRNA from 1 species
UACGAGGGGGGCGAGCGUUGUUCGGAAUUAUUGGGCGUAAAGGGCGCGUAGGCGGUUUUUUAAGUCUUGUGUGAAAUCUUCGGGCUUAACUCGGAGUCUGCACGUGAAACUAUCUGGCUUGAGUGUGGGAGAGGUGAGUGGAAUUCCUGGUGUAGCGGUGAAAUGCGUAGAUAUCUGGAGGAACACCGGUGGCGAAGGCGGCAUCCUGGACCGGCAUUGACGCUGAGGCGCGAAAGCGAGGGGAGCAAACAGG